GCGCCUCUUUCUCCCCGCCCACCGCACGCUCUCCUGUACCCAAUGGGACGCCUAGAGAGGCGUGCGUGCAUCGGACCCGCCGACACCUCCCACCUCUUCUUCUUCCCGAUGUGAAAACCGAGGGUGUUGUAGAGUCUGGUUCCUGGCGGCCGUACGUGGGAUGUCUCAGUGGUUUCUGUAAGAAAUUAUACUACAAAAGUGGUAUCAGAUGAAGAGGCGAUCAAAGGAUAUGCCGCCAAAAAUUAGGGAAACUGGCAGUGUACGGUAUAAACUUCAGGCCCCACAAAACCUGGAUCUGCCAAUGUCUAUGAGGUGGAUACUGAUGGUCAUUUGGAGUGUCCCACGUUACAGAUGAGUCAAAAAGAGGACAGCUCCUUCUCCAAUCCAGAUGUGAGCAGGGGAUCAAGUCCUUCCCUGACAGAUUUUGGCACACCAUCAAGAAAAAAAACCAAAUGCCCCAGGCGCCUCCUUCUGCUAAUCCUAGACAGUGUUUCUGCCAUCGCCUUUGCCCACUGUCAUCUCCUCUGUGGUGGUUCUUGGCUCCUCAGUUGUGGUGUUCCUGCUAAAGCAAAAAAAGGCAGUUGGACAAAGAUUUCAUCUCACACCAACAAGGCUGGCAUUAACCCAAAAAAACACAAAAUAAUAAAUGUUGGAGAGGCUGUGGAGAGAUUGGAACACUUCUACACUGCUGGUGGGAAUGUCAAAUGGUACAACCACUUCGGAAAUCGAUUUGGCGCUUCCUUAAAAGGUUAGAAAUAGAACUACUAUACGAUCCAGCAAUCCCACUCCUUGGAAUAUAUCCUAGAGAAAUAAGAGCCUUUACACAAACAGAUAUAUGCACACCCAUGUUUAUUGCAGCACUGUUUACAAUAGCAAAAAGAUGGAAGCAACCAAGGUGCCCAUCAACGAAUGAAUGGAUAAAUUAUGGUAUAUUCACACAGUAGAAUACUACGCAUCAAUAAAGAACAGUGAGG